CAAGGUUAAGAACUGAAGGUUCGGAGCCGAAGCGAAAGCGAGUCUGAAUAGGGCGAUAGUUGCAUGACGUAGACCCGAAACCGGGUGACCUAUCCAUGAGCAGGUUGAAGUGGAGGUAAAGCUCCAUGGAGGACCGAACCAGACGUCUGUUGAAAAAGGCGGGGAUGACUUGUGGAUAGGGGAGAAAUUCCAAUCGAACCCGGAGAUAGCUGGUUCUCCUCGAAAUAGCUUUAGGGCUAGCCUCAUGGAUCAUUGGUGGGGGUAGAGCACUGAAUGUGCGCGGGGGCCACAAAGCCUACCAAACGCUAUCAAACUACGAAUACCAUACAAUGCAGACCAUGGGAGUCAGUCCGCGAGAGAUAAGUUCCGCGGGCAAAAGGGGAACACCCCAGAUCAACCGCUAAGGUCCCCAAGUUCACGUUAAGUGGAGAAGGAUGUGGAAUUGCACAGACAACCAGGAUGUUGGCUCAGAAGCAGCCACACAUUUAAAGAGUGCGUAAUAGCUCACUGGUCGAGUGAUUGUGCGCCGAAGAUGUCCGGGGCUAAACGUGACACCGAAGCGAUGGGUGCAUCUGAAGAAGAUGCGCGGUAGAGGAGCAAUGUGCAGAGGCAGAAGCCGUAUCGAGAGGCACGGUGGACACUGCACAAGAGAGAAUGCCGGUAUGAGUAGCGAGAGGCAUGCGAGAAACAUGCCCGUCGAAAGCCCAAGGUUUCCUGGGGAAGGUUCAUCCGCCCAGGGUAAGUCGGGGCCUAAGCCGAGGACGGAAGUCGUAGGCGAUGGACAGCAGGUGUAGAUUCCUGCACUACCGAUGGAAUGAAGCAGUGACACAGAAGGAUAACUCGAGCAGGGUGAUGGUCAACCCUGUGCAAGCAUCGAGGUUGGGUUGUAGUGAAGUACGCAACCCUAUAAGCUGAGGUGUGAUGCGGACCGAAAUUUCAGUAGGGAAGCGAGUGAGUUCACGCUGGCGAGAAAAGCUGCUAGUACAUCCAAAGGUACCCGUACCGGAAACCGACGCAGGUGGGCGAGGAGAGAAUCCUGAGACGAACGGGAGAACCCUUGUUAAGGAACUCGGCAAAAUGACCCCGUAACUUCGGGAUAAGGGGUGCCUGCGAGAGCAGGCCGCAGAGAAUAGUCACAAGCGACUGUUUAGCAAAAACACAGGUAUCUGCGAAAGCGAGAGCUGACGUAUAGGUGCUGACACCUGCCCGGUGCUGGAAGGUUAAGGGAACAUGUUAGAGCAAUCGAAGCAUCGAACCGAAGCCCCAGUAAACGGCGGCCGUAACUAUAACGGUCCUAAGGUAGCGAAAUUCCUUGUCGGGUAAGUUCCGACCCGCACGAAUGGUGUAACGACUUGUGAGCUGUCUCAACAGGGGGCCCGGUGAAAUUGAAGUAUGGGUGAAGAUGCCCAUUACCCGCGACUGGACGGAGAGACCCCGUAGAGCUUUACUGCAGCCUGAUAUUGAGUUUCGGUAACUGAUGCACAGGAUAGGUGGGAGUCUGAGAGACAUGGGUUUCGGCUCGUGUGGAGACGCUGUUGGGAUACCACUCUUCGGUUACUGAAAUUCUAACAUAGCUCUGUGAAACCAGAGGAUGGACAGUGUCAGGUGGACAGUUUGACUGGGGCGGUCGCCUCCGAAAGAGUAACGGAGGCGCCCAAAGGUACCCUCAGAAUGGAUGGAAACCAUUCGAAGAGCGCAAAGGCAGAAGGGUGCCUGACUGCGAGAGUGACAACUCGAGCAGAGACGAAAGUCGGGCUUAGUGAUCCGGCGGUAUUGAGUGGAAAAGCCGUCGCUUAACGGAUAAAAGCUACCUCGGGGAUAACAGGCUGAUCUCCC
rnacentral:rRNA from 1 species